GAUACAGAAAAAACUAAAAAUUAAAUUUUAUCAAUUUGUAAAACAAUGUAAAAGUCAAAAUUUAACACAUAUCUAAUAUUAAAUAUAAAUUUUACGUGUAACAAACAAAAGGGAGUCAUGGCCAAGCCAAGAGGAUGGACGGUGGAGGUGAGCAGAAAGCAACUUCAGAACAGUGCUCUGUACAGCGUGGAUCGUUCGAAAGUCAUGGAAGUCGACCUGGACGCUGUAGAAACUCAGGUUCAAAAGACUCUCUGCGAAUCGGACACGACCAUCAGUGAUUUUGACUCCACCGAAGUUUAUAAAAUUGGUAACGAUUCUUCAGUCACAAGCUUUGGCGAUAACAUCAAGCAGAAAAGUGAUUUGGAUUCGGAUAAAAUAAUGCAGUACCCGAAUGCAUAUCCAUAUGACGCUAAUCCAGUCGUUUCUGGCCUGGAGCAUGACAAGAAAAGGCUGAAAGCGUGGAUGUCAAGUACGACGAUGGCGAUAUCACAGAAAGUGAAAAGUCUGGUAAACGUUCAAAGAAAGCUCCUCGAGAAAUCCAGCUCGGUAGAGAAAACGGUAGAGAGUACGCCGAAUCUCCUGGUUUCGGAUAUGUCGACAGAGUUGUCUUCCGAGCCGAAAUCCAUCGAUCUGCAGACCCUCGUCAAGCCGACUAUCAAGCCUACCAAAUGCUAUUUAGAGUUUACUGAAAUGUCGACCACCCCGACAGGCGCUCUCUCUUCUCUCGAUCCGUUCGUUAUCGGAAAAGCGAUAGACGUUAUGAAAGCCAUGAGCGAUUCAGAUUGGGACAAAGUCAAGCACUUGUACGAAAUGUUCAAAAGAGCGGGUAGACUCGAUCAGUUGAUUAUAUACGAAUUCGCUAUAAAAAUAAUCGUAAACACGCGCGGGAAGUCGGGGGUGGUGGACGUGCUGAGGGACAUCGACGGUGAUCUAGCCGAAGCGGCGUUCAGAUUCGGCAAAACCCUUUUGAGCCUUUACCACGGCAGUUUCCUUCUGUCUGAAGGUGUCGAAACGCGAAAGCCGCCGAAAAAAGAAGAGGUGGCCGUAGUCGAACCCAUCCCAGCGGAAAAAGAAGAGCAGGCGAAAAAAGUGCCAAAUCGAGGAGCUCAGAUACCCGAGAACGUGCGGCAGAGUUAUGAAAACCCGAAAAAGGAACAGGGCCCGAGACGUUCCUCAUAUGCGUAUCUCUUUAAAGAUGCAGCCGCGGCGCAGAAAAACCAGAAGAAAAACAAUCAGUGCACCAACGUGACAAAGAAGAAUACCACGACGACGUUCAAACGGACGAACACACGGCGUAAUUCACCAAGUGGCAAACCUCCUGUAAUAAGGAAUGUCAACCCAAAAUACGCCCACGUCAAAUCGCGAUAUCGCGAAGCUGCCGCUAAAUUGGGCAGCCAACCGACUACAGCGGUGAAAAAGGUGUCGAGGAAGCAGCCGCUUAAUGUUACCGGCCCGACGACGAAAAGAAUCACAUCAAAAACGGCGAAAAUCACCAAUGUUAAGGAAUGCCGUACGUUCAAACCACAGGUUAAUUCUGUGGACGAUACGCCGCCGACACCUCGCGUCUCGCCGACCAGUUCUGUCCUGAGCACGCCCGACUCGAAUAUGGACUCGACGACGAGGAGCUUCAACAACAACCAAACAGUCAAUUCGGACGCAACUGAACGACAGUUCCUCGCAAAAGAUCUCUCCGACACUAACGUCCUCGCAGAUAAAUUCAAAGAUUUGGUCAAGAAAGUCGUCAGCGAAGAACGGUUACUGAACCGGACACACGAAGCCUUGGGCGGAUUGAUAGAACCGGCCACUCCGAACCCGGAGUCGACCGAUUACGAGGAUCCAGAGUCGUCCUACAUCAUCGACGGCCCGAUUUACAAAGGUCCUACUGGCGAUUAUACCCAUGCGAAAAUAGAAUUCGACUCGAAACCGAAAGAGCCUGUCGUCAGCAGUCCGCACGAUGACGGCGACAACCCGACCAUACCCGUCGUCAAAUCCAGAAGCGAACCAAAUCUUCUUGACAAGAACAAGUCUGAAGAAAAAUAUUGUUUAGUUACUGAUAAUGAUGGUUCGGAGUCCAACUUUUCCGUCACAACGUUGUACAAUUAUUUCUCUUUAGGCAACUGCCCAACUUGAGACCUUUCAUAAUAGACAGACUAUUGAUGAACGUGCUACUUGCCUAUCUUCUGGCCGUGACUGGAGGUGCGCUCUGCGCUGACGACUCCAAAAGCCUGUACUGCACACUUUCUCUCACUCUCAAAGGAAAACUACGGACGAUGCUUAUACGAGCACUCCGUCUGGUAGAUGACUUCUGAGAGCGGAUUUCAACUCGAGGUCCUGCUGCUUGUAAGGAAGUUUGUCCACUCGUGUCUGGACAAUGAAGGAAAAUAGCGCUAGCGGCCCAAGCGGCGUUUCACCAUCGCUCCCUGAAAAACAUAACAAAUCAUCAUUAUUGGUUAAAAAUUUUAUUUUAGUCCAGUCUCUUUAUAUAUUAAAUAUAUAA